UCGAGCGAACAUCCGACGGUGGUGACAACAGCCGCCGUCAAAUACGACCGGGUUAUAAUCGGCAUCUGUUUGUACCAUUCUUCUACAGCUUGAGCCAUGCCCAAUCGAAUUCAAUCCCGAUCACAAAGAGCAAUUGAACCCAGAGAUUCUUUAAAUUCAAAACCUAAUCGAAUCUCUAGAAGCUUCAACGUUGAAAUGAUUUGAAGCAGCUUUGAAUUUUCGAAAGCGACUGAUAUAAAGAUGAUUCAGAGAUUUACCUCUCUUUUUUUCCUUUGUCUAGAUAAUAAAUAUUAUUUCCGCAUUUUAAAAUAUAAUAGUUUCAACGAAUGACAUAGCGCGAGUACUUUAAACUCGGAUUCCGGGUUCCAGAUUUUAUGCCCAGCCCUGAUUGGUACCGACGUUUUCGUCGAAAUCGUGCCGGUUUACUUUAUUCGGUAACGAAGUCAUGCCGUUUUGCAAAAGAUGAAAACGGCGGGACGUUAUUUGGCUUCGUAGAGACGCUGGCGUCAGGAGCCUCUUGUGGUUGGUUCGUUUGAUACACGCGCUAUUUAAGGGAAUGUGGAUUGACAUGGAUGUGUUUAGAAAUUUAGAAUUAUUUAAUUUAGAAAUUAUGUUUUUUGAAUUGUUGAGAAAAAUUGCGUUAGAAAUUAUGUUUUUCUAACAAUACUAAAAAAAGAAUAUACUCUACUCUAAAACUAUCCACAUCAGAUUAAAUAAUCCACCAAUCAAAAUACAUUUAAGUGUCCUAUCAUUUCUAAAUUACCACAUCAAUUUUCUUAAGACAAUUGCGCUUCUCCGAAAAAUAAUUAAUCAUAGACCUUUGCCUUUCUUCUUCUUCCAAAACGAAAAAGUUAUAACUCUUAUUUUGCUUUCACUUUCCAAACUGUUUUCUUUUUCUCUUCCCUCUCCAUUAAUUUUGUUUCAGAUUUCUAAUUAUAACAUUGAUUCUUAUCGAACCACCUUGAAAUCACCUCCUUCGGUCAAAAAAGAAAGAAUCAAUGGUGAUGAGUCUCAUAGAUGAGUGAUGGUCGUGUAAUCAUAUUCAUGUCCUCAUAAUCAGCUUUGCAUCAAGAAGAAGCUGAGAGUAACCGAUACAUCUAUUUUAAGUAUUUCCCCAAAUCUUAUUUAUCCUCUACUUGAAACAAUGGAGACCAAAGAAGAGAAGAAGAUCCUCACAGAGGAAAAACUUGAACGGAAGAAAAGAAGGCUGUCAAGGAAGCUAUUGAAGGAGGGAUAUAGAUCUUUCCAACUGUUCGAUCCUCUUGUAUUGUGCAGCAUGUGAAACCAGAGGAAGGAUAUGCUCCAGAACCAAUUGAUGUUCGAAGGAUAUUAUAUGCAGACAUUCUCUCAAAUGGAGGGGAAGUCGCAUUACAAUAGAUGGUCCAGUUGAUCCUGGUUGGUUUUACAAAAACCAUCCACGAUUCAAAAUUUUAAGUGGCAGUAAGGUGAAUGAUGGGCUUAUCGAACUGCAGAUUCUUGCUUGGAAUCCCGAGUAGAGUCUCUGAUUCAAAAUUCAAACAGUGAAUUCAGCGUGAUUAUAUUACAGAUGAAUGAACAAGACUGCAUCCUGAUCUCAUGUCUUUACCCUUGGAAGACGAGAAUAAAAUUAUCUCUAGGAUGGAUCACAAAGGCAAGAGAAAUGUAAUUGACAUAUAUGCAGCUCUGUGGAGGUAGAGGCAAUAUUAAAGCUCAUGCCAAGGCAUUGUUCGGGCAACCAGAAAAGAGCCUAAAUUUCUAACCUUUUUAGUCAGAACAAACAAGAGCGUAACGCAGCCAUAGUCCUUGCUCGCUCUUUUGAUUGCAAUGUAAGAAAAACUAUUCAAAAUGUAAAAUCUUCUGUUAAAAUUAUAUUCUCAGACAUUGAAAAUCACUGUGGAUUUAUUUACACAAUACAGUUUUAAAUAUGUGAGUUGAGGCUUAUAUGCAGGUAACACUGCUUGGGCUAAGAUGAUCAAACAAUGGUGAAUGAGCCAUUGUCAUUAACCACAACCACCAUUUUUAUUGUUGUGUGUGUCGUUUGUUUUUUCACCGUGGUUCAAAGAAGGAAGGUGAAGUCUGGGCUCUCACGAGCAUAGGGUUUCAUUAUAAGCAGCAGAUUUCAUUUUUACUUUUUUUUUUAAUAUGGAUCAUCGUUUUAAUUUGGUUGCCAUCUCUUAUUUGUUUUGGUUUGUUCUUGAAUUUGGAUUAUAUUGUCAAAUAUAUGGUCAGGUCUCUUGUGGUUGAAUCAAUAGUCUAAUGAAUUUGUGGGUUAUCUAUACUUCUGAAACAUAUGAGCUUCCACGCUACUUCAGGGGCAUAGUUGGUCGUGUGGCAAACUGGAUCUAAGACGGCAAAUGUAGACUCAGCGGAUUCGACCCAUCAAUAAGCCUCUAAACAGCCUCCAUGAAGACGGUGAAAGACCUUUCAUCACUUUCAAAUAUCACAUAUCUGGUCGAGAAGAAGGUCCAUACAUCUAUAUAUGGGAUUAACGUUGAGGAAAAGAUCUUUUUUCAUCAUUAUCUUAUACCUCUUGGAUAGAUUAUCCUGGUGCAGUUUCUAACACACUGACAUACAUUCUCAUGUCAGAAACUACCAUGAAACUUAACAUGGAGGCAUCUGAAGAGAACAAAAACACUCCAAUUAACUUAGCUCAGAAUACGUACUGGAACUUGCCGGGUAAUGACUCAUGGAACAUUCUUGACCACAUGAUACAGAUUUGGGGUCCACAUAUCACCCUUGAUCCACACACAGAUCAUGCGAGAUCCUUACGGGAAAAGGAUCUCCUUUCGCUUUCACCACAAGAAAUGGAUAGGCGAGUCUACAGGAGAGGUGGGUAUUGGAUAUGAUCAUAACUACGUAUUGGAAUAUCCUGAUCAAGAGAAGGACGGGCUGAAACAUGCAACAAAGCUGAAGGACUGUGCGAGUGAACAAGUGGUUUUACAUGGAUGUGGUUUAGGUAACUGAUUGGAAUUACUGGCCGUUUAAAUUAUUUAUGUCUUCAUAUAUAUAUAAAUUUUAAAAGUCACGGUUACUAUAUAUUUACAAGGAGACUUGAAUUUUUCCAGAGACAUGUUCAUUUUCUCAUUCAAAAAUAAUAUUCCAAA